AGCCGCGGUAAUUCCAGCUCCAUUGGCGUAUAUUAAAGUUGUUGCGGUUAAAAAGCUCGUAGUUGGAUCUGUGUAUCGGACGGUCGGUUCGCCGCUCGCGGCGUUUAACUGACCGGUCCGGACGUCCUGCCGGUGGGACCCGGUUCACGCCGGGGCCCGUAACUCCCUCCGCGCUGCUCUUAACCGAGUGGUUCGGUGGGCCGGCACGUUUACUUUGAACAAAUUUGAGUGCUCAAAGCAGGCCUUAUGUUGCCUGAAAACUGUGUGCAUGGAAUAAUGGAAUAGGGCCUUGGUUCUAUUUUGUUGGCUUUCUGAACUCGAGGUAAUGAUUAAUAGGGACAGACGGGGGCAUUCGUAUUGCGACGUUAGAGGUGAAAUUCUUGGAUCGUCGCAAGACGGACUGAUGCGAAAGCGUUUGCCAAGAAUGUUUUCGCUAAUCAAGAACGAAAGUUAGAGGUUCGAAGGCGAUCAGAUACCGCCCUAGUUCUAACCAUAAACGAUGCCAGCCAGCGAUGCGCCGAAGUUCCUCCGAUGACUCGGCGCGCAGCUUCCGGGAAACCAAAGCUUUUGGGUUCCGGGGGAA
rnacentral:rRNA from 1 species